UGCCAGGUCCCCAGUAGUCCUUCUACCUGGCCCUUGAGAUACCUCUAGAGUGAGCGAGCUGCCUGCCGCCCACUGGAUCCUGAUGGCAGGAUCCUCUUGCCCAAGGACAGGAUGGUAUGACUGGGCUGGGCAGCUGCAGGGCCUUAGCUCCUGCAUUUGGGGUGGAUGCACCCUUGUCCCUGUACCCUAAAUGCUGGCCCUACCACAGCAAUGUGGAGUGAGUCUGGGCUUGGUCUUAACCUCUUUGGACCUCAGUGAGGUCUGUGGAGUGGGGACAGUGACCCAUCCUCCCGAAGGCAAGAGAACCCUCCUUCUCAAAAACGUAGAGCUGAGGACCCCGAGAGUCUCUGCUCACACCACUGGCCCGGCAGCUGGCUGUCCAGCCUGUGUCCUGCAGCCUGUGCAUGCUGCUGGGCAGGGCAGGACGCUGUGGACACAGGGUGGUAGAGGAGACGGGAAAGCUGGACAUCUGGCAGUGGCUGGGCCCCUCCCUGUGUGGCCUGGCCACUUUCCCUUCCUGGAUCCCUCGAUUCUCAGGCCCUCCAGGGCAAUUAAGCUAAUUGCCUCUGACUCCUCACCCCUGGAGAGAGGGCGCCUCACACCCGAGGCUUGCAGGCCAAGCUGCAGUGGGAAGCUGGCAGCGGCCAUCUUCUCCCACCUCUGGGCAAACCGGAUUCCACGCAAGAGUGAGAAAGGGAGCCGGGGAAACAACAGCCAGCGACCAAACUGUCGGGCGUGUCUGGAGCCCAUGCCACCAGCCCAGGAGGAAGCCACCCUGCCUGCAGAGGCGUGGACCUCACCCUGCUGGCCACCCCUACCUGGUCAGUCUUCCUGCUGCCCUGAAGAGGUGGUAAUGGGUCCAGGAGCCACACUGCCCCACCCCAGCCCAGAGGCCGAGAUGCACCACACCACAGCUUUCCUGCUCCGGCCCGCUCAUUCACCGUGUGAAUGUGGCUGGUCAGAGGCGUGGAGCACUGGUGGAAGGGGUCUUGGGACAGCCACAUUUGCCCUGUGGGAGGUAGAGGAAAGCGGGCGGGCAGGGUACGGAGUGCGGGAGCAUGCUGCCGGAGUUGGACAGCAGGAGGCAGCCCGAGUUCGCCAUGGAGCACAGCAUGGGGCGGCAGGGGGGCGCCCGGCGGCCGGACGAGCUCUGCGCUCGCUGCGUCCCUCGGUAUGUGCGCGCACCCUGCCUCCCGGGCGCCCUCCCGGUCUCUCCUCCUCCUCCUCUUCCUCCUCGGGGCCUCCCCUCCCCCUCGUGGCGCUCUUUAGGAGGGAGGCAUGGAAAGGCCAGCGGCGCGCCUCUGCCCGGUGCUCCCCCUGGCCAGGCGGAGAGGCUGGAGAGAGCGCGCGCGAGAAUAUAGCAAGAGAAUAUAUGCGCGAGAGGAUGGAUGCGAGGGAACGGGGGAGUCUGUCACUUUGGAGCCACCCGAGCCCUGUCUGCAAAGAGUGGUGCGUGUGCGUGUGUGAGUGCGCGCAUGUGCGCGUGUGUGUAGCGGUGGGAGGGGGAGUCCCUGGCGUACUCCAACAUCAAACAGAGCCCCGCGCGGAGGGGAGAGAACCGGGACGGCGGCACCACAGCUGAUCCCACACUUAACCCCUCGCCCGCCGGCCUGCGCCGGCCCGCCAGCCCCCGCGCUCCCCUCCUCCAGCCCG
rnacentral:lncRNA from 1 species